GUUGAGCAUUGACUCGCUAUCAGAGUCUGACUCGCUUUCGAGAGCCUGGUUCCCUGAGAUUGUUCCCCUCGGGCUAGCUGCGACCAAAACAAUGCAGCAGGUGAGACAAACGACCCCUGGUGCGUCUGAUUUUGGUUGAAGGUGUAUAUGUUGCGACAUACCGGAGACAGCUGCCGUCGUCGAGAUCGCCUGGUGGUGUGGGCCGUCGGACCACCAGGAGUGGCCAGCGUUGCUCCCUUCCAGCCCCAGGGCGUUCUGCUGGAGCACAGGAGGAAGCUCAGUUAAGCGCACAGGCACAGGCACAAGGCAACACAGCAGACGCUGAGCCAAGAAGGGAAGCUUGCACUGUGGCAGUGAAAGCUCACCGAGUCGCCGAAGCAGAGGCCCGGCAGGCCGCCGCCGGGGGAGAACACGGCGCCUUGCCCAGGGUAGACCGGACUGUCCCGCUCGGCAUCGACGUGGGCGCCGGCGAGGUGCUCCCGUAUGAAGGCCUCCAGCUCCAGCUCAGACGCGCACUUCUUCAUCUUCUCCGGCUGUUAGUUAGUGUGUCUUGUUGCUGUUUGUCUUUCUCAGCAAGGCCUCCUCCGGUGAGGGGGGCGCCUUCAUCGCCGGCGACGGGUUUUAUACUACUACUACAUACAUGGGGCAAGAGCUGUGGGGACGUGGAAAGCUGGGUCGGGCGAUAACUGCUUGGGUGGAUGGACAGUGACACCGGCUGACUCGGAUCCUCGUAAGGUAGAGCGUACAAUGCUGUCCGUUCGUGGCCACGUCCGUCGCAGAAUACUUAAUUGCAAAAAUUCGGAUUUACAUUUGGAUAUCUGAUAAAAGGAGUACUAAACUAUGUUAUCUGAUGGCCGUUCUCUCU